UACAGAGGGUGCAAGCGUUGCUCGGAAUUACUGGGCGUAAAGCGCGUGUAGGCUGCGAUGUAAGUCGGACGUGAAAGCCCUUGGCUUAACCAAGGGAGUGCAUCCGAUACUGUGUCGCUUGAGUACCGGAGGGGAUGGCGGAAUUCCCGGUGUAGAGGUGAAAUUCGUAGAUAUCGGGAGGAACACCUGUGGCGAAGGCGGCCAUCUGGACGGUAACUGACGCUGAGACGCGAAAGCGUGGGUAGCAAACAGG
rnacentral:rRNA from 1 species